rfam:Salmo salar isolate Sally breed double haploid chromosome ssa22, whole genome shotgun sequence.
UUUUUUGCAUUUUGUAAGUCGCUCUGGAUAAGAGCGUCUGCUAAAUGACUUAAA